GUAUGGUAACUGCAGUGGCUCAUUGCAUAUUUACACAUGUACAGCAGAUAUUAAAAUAUUGUUUCCUCUCAGACACAGAAUGUUGAUCCUGCCCUGUGCUUUACUUUGUGCCCUGCUGUCCGACGCCUCUCUUGUCCCUAUGUUUAACAGGAAUUCUAUUUUUCUUGUCCCACUCUCUGUUUUUUGGAAUUUUGGACAGCUUGAUGAAUUUUGAAACACUUUGAUGAACCUAUUUCUUGAAACACAUUUAUUGGUGCCCUUGUUUAUGGACAAUCAGGGUAAAAAGUCAGAAGCUGUGAAUCUCCGCUGGCAAAGGAUGAAUGACCUUCAGUGUACAGCAACAGGUGAACCAGCAGAAAGUCCUCACAGGUUCAGUGCCAUCGUUUUUAAGGUCUAAUCUAUACGGUAGAUUUGUAACAGGAUUGCUGGAGCAUUUUGGAGGCAAACUAUAUUAAGGUUUUGAGGUUGUAAUGCCUAAAUGGGGGCAGUUCCUGGAGAGUUUUGAAGUUCUAAUUGAGGUAAGUAAAAGUAUUUGGUCUUUUCAGAGUCCGACUCUACACUAUUCUGCUGGAGGUUGGCAACCACCGCAGGGUGUGUAGGAAAACUGCCUCCAUCCUCAAAGAUCCCACCCACCCCCAGCAUGGACUGUUUGCCUCCCUACCCCCUGGCCAAAGGUUCAGAAGUGUGAAAUGCAGGACCACUAGACUGAAAAACUCUUUCUUUCC